GACUUUUAGGAUAGCACUGGAAAUGUAAAUGAGGAAAAUACCUAAUAAAAAAUUUUUAAAAAAAGAAGCAUAGUUCACUGGUAAAGAAUCUUACACACUGAGAGCAAAGGGGUGGAAAACCAUUUAUCAAAAAUAAAAUUGGUUGGGAGGCAGAGGCAGGUGGAUUUCUGAGUUCGAGGCCAGCCAGGACUACACAGAGAAACCCUGUCUCAAAAAACCAAAAAUAAAUAAAUAAGUAAACAAAUAAAUAAAUAAAUAAAAUAAAAAUAGAAAAAUAAAAUUGGAAAUGAAAACAAUAAUGUUACUGUAGAUUCCAGUGAAAUUCAGAGAAUCAUUAGGAGCUACUUUAAAAAAUUAUAUCCCACACAACUGAAAAUUUUACAAGAAAUGGAUAACAUGAUGUAUUUGGGGCAGUUUUAUGUCAACUUCGAUACAUCAGAUUUAUCUAGGAAGAAGAACAUCAACUGAGAAAAUGUCUCCCCAGGCAGGACUGUGGGGCACUUCCUGAUUAAUGAUUGAUAUGGGAGGGUCCAUCCCAUGGGGUGGUACCACUUCUGGGCAGGUAGUACUGAGUCGCAUAAGGAAAUCUGACAAAGUCACAAGGAUCAAGACAGGAAGCAGCCUCCCUCCCUCCACAGCUUCUGCUUCAGUUCCUGCUUUCUGCUUCCUACUUUGAGUUCCUGCCGUGCCAUCACAUGAUGAACUGUGAUUUGGAAGUAUAAGUCAAAUAAGCUCUUUCCUCUCCAAGCUGCUUUCUGACCAUGGCCUUUAACACAGCAAUAGAAAAGUAACACAUCACGGAAACACAAGAUCUAUCCAAAUUAAAUCAGGGAGAUAUAUAAACAACCUCAAAAAUCCCUAUCAAUGAAAUUGAAGCACUAAUAAAAAGCGUGCCAAAGGAGAAAACUCAGGACCUAGAAAACUAUCAAACAUUUAGAGAAUAACUAAUAUCAGUGCUCCUAAGGGAAAGAUCCUUACUCACCUUUCUUAUGAAGUCAGCAUGAUCCUGACUUCAAACCAGGAAAAGGACUCAAGGAAAACAAACAAAUUAAAAGUAGAGACCAAGUUCUCUUGGUUCCCCUGUGAACGUAUAUGCAAGAAUUGUUCAUAAAGUUCUUACAAACCAAAUCUAGGAACACAUUUGGAAUAUCAUAUACCAUAACCAAGUUUAUUUCAUUCCAGUGAUGCAAAGUUGGCUCAAUAUGUACAAAUCAAUAAGUGUAAUUCAGCACAUAAGUGGACAUAUGUCCAGGAAUCGCAAGGAUCUCAUUCGAUGCAGAAAAGGCCCUUGGAAGAGUAUAACAUCUUUUCAUAAUAAAAGCCCUGAAGGAGUCUGGAAGAGAAGAAACAUAUAUCAACAUAGUGAUGCCCUUAUAUGACAAACCUACAGCCAACAUUAUACCAGUGGGGGAAAGGAGAUUUUAGAAGAUUAUUUAGAAUUGUUGCACUUAUAUUCAUGGUGUGUAGGGCUGUUAGUUUUCUCUUUUUAAUGUAGUUUCAUCUGGUUUGGGCAUUAGAGUACAUCUGGCUUCUUUAAAAGAGUUUGAAAGAUUUCUAUUUUAAUUUGUUCAGUAAUUCAAAAAUAACUGGAACUAAUUUUUAUUAAAACACUUUAUAAAAUUCAUCAGUAAAGCCAUCAGAUCCAGAACUUCCAUAGGACAAAAUUAUUGCUUCAAGUUUAUUACACACCAUUAGUUUGUUUAUAUUUAAAUUCUCUACUUAUUUUCUAUUAGGUUAUAUGAUUCCAGAAAAUUAUCUACUCCUAAGACAGAUUUUUAAUGAAAUAGUCAUUCAUGUACCUUUAAGGUUUUGUAUUUCUGUGUUAUAAGCUACAAUGUGUCUUUUCCAAUCUUUUAUUUAUUUGCAGCAAAUAGUUGGGUCUUGUGUUUUGUUUUGGUGUGUGCAUGUGCAUAUGUAUACAGUCUAUGUCUUUGUUUGGUACAUUUAAUCCAUAAUUUACAUUCAAUAUUAUUGUUGAUAAACACAGCUUUCUCCUUUCUUUAGGUUGAUUAUAUUCUGCUUGUUUUGUAUAUUUUUUUUCAUUUCACCUCUUUUACUAUUUCUAUGACUUAGCAGUUUUCUGUUGUGCUAAGGUUUAACUCUUUCUUUUGUAUAUCUGUUCUUCUACUGAGUUUUGUGUGAUUAAUGUUCUAUGAUAAGUUAUCCUUUCAUUUCUAAUGUAAGACUCUGUUAAAAUAUUUUUAUAAAAUUAUAUUAUUGUUAUUAUGUAUAUAUAUGAUAUGUAUAUGUGUGUGUGUGUGUGUGUGUGUGAACACUGAAAAACUUUAGGUGCGUUAUAAACUUAGAGUCUAGUGCCAAGGCUCAUUAAGAUGAAUUGCAUGGUUUCCAGUAAAGGCAAGGCAGCCACUGGCACAUGGAAAGGCAUGAAGCAAAUAGAACAGAAUCAGAAUCUGAAAUAGUUUCUAUUGUGUAUAAUAAUUUUGUAUGUUAUAAAGACGGAAUUUCAAAAUGCAUUGCAUCAAACUUUGAAGUAACAACUAAGGUUUGUAUUUCAAAAGUUAGAAUUUCAAAUCCAACCUUUUGUUUUUGUUUUGUUUGUUAUGUGAGGAAUUGAAUAGAGACCCUAGAGCAGGCCAAACCCUUAAAUGGACUUUUGUCAGAGUCUGGAGGUAGUGGUACAUUGGCUUUAAUCCCAGCACUUGGGAGGCAGAGCAGUCAGAUCUCUGAGUUCGUGGACAGUCUGAUCUACAGAGUGAGUUCCAGGACAGCCAAGGCUACACAGAGAAACCCUGUCAUGGAAAACC
rnacentral:lncRNA from 1 species